rnacentral:rRNA from 1 species
AUCGAACGCUGGCGGCAGGCUUAACACAUGCAAGUCGAGCGGGGUGAUGGUGCUUGCACUAUCACUUAGCGGCGGACGGGUGAGUAAUGCUUAGGAAUCUGCCUAUUAGUGGGGGGCAACAUCUCGAAAGGGAUGCUAAUACCGCAUACGUCCUACAAGAGAAAGCAGGGGAUCACUAGUGACCUUGCGCUAAUAGAUGAGCCUAAGUCGGAUUAGCGAGUUGGUGGGGUAAAGGCCUAACAAGGCGACGAUCUGUAGCGGGUCUUAGAGGAUGGUCCGCAACACUGGGACUGAGACACGGCCUAGACUCCUACGGGAGGCAGCAGUGGGGGAUAUUGGACAAUGAGGGGAAACCUGAUCCAGCCAUGCCACGUGUGUGAAGAAGGCCUUAUGGUUGUAAAGCACUUUAAGCGAGGAGGAGGCUCUUCUGGUUAAUACCCAAGGUGAGUGGACGUUACUCGCAGAAUAAGCACCGGCUAACUCUGUGCCAGCAGCCGCCGUAA